CGAAAAUCAGCCUUCCUUUCUUUCAGGUGUUUUCUGAGGAGGCGAAAGUAAGCACCACCGGACAGGGUCCUUGUUAAAGCUGCACAGAAAGAAAGAUUCCAUCGAGCCAAUAGAUUAGUGAUUCUGCUCAUGAUAGCGAAAGUCAUCUGACACAACAACCCUCCUCCCUUGUUUUUCUCAUACCAGCCAUGAAGGUUUCCCAAGAUCUUGUCUCUGUGUUCAGGAAGGUGACAUUUGCCCAGCCCUAGAAAAUGAAUUUAAAUUGAUCUAAACCAGUACUUCUCAACAUGUGACUCCCAGCAGAACUGCUUGGCAACUUAUCACAAAUGCACAUCAUCAGGCCCAUCCCUAAUCUUCUCUGGAGUACAGCAUCUGUAUUUUAAUAGCCCCCUGCCCUGAGAUUCUGAUUUACGCUCAAAUUUGAGAGCCACUAGUUCAAACUAGUCAUGAUAAUUUUAUUCCUCUUUGCCAGCGAUUUUAUCAAGGAUGAGAAGUGACCUUCGUGAGGCCCAGGAGGUGCAAGGGGGAGUCUGCUGGAGGCUCUAAUAAAGGUCUU